UACGUAGGGUGCGAGCGUUGUCCGGAAUUACUGGGCGUAAAGCGCACGUAGGCGGCUUUGCAAGUCAGAGGUGAAAGCCCGGGGCUCAACCCCGGAAUUGCCUUUGAGACUGCAUCGCUAGAAUUGUGGAGAGGUAAGUGGAAUUCCGAGUGUAGAGGUGAAAUUCGUAGAUAUUCGGAGGAACACCAGUGGCGAAGGCGACUUACUGGACACAUAUUGACGCUGAGGUGCGAAAGCGUGGGGAGCAAACAGG
rnacentral:rRNA from 1 species